rnacentral:rRNA from 1 species
CAUGGUUGUCGUCAGCUCGUGUCGUGAGAUGUUGGGUUAAGUCCCGCAACGAGCGCAACCCUAUUGCUAGUUAUCAUCAUUAAGUUGGGACUCUAGCGAGACUGCCAGUGAUAAACUGGAGGAAGGUGGGGAUGACGUCAAAUCAUCAUGCCCCUUAUGACCUGGGCUACAAACGUGAUACAAUGGCUGGAACAAAGGGAUGCGAAGCAGUGAUGUGGAGCGAAACCCAUAAAAUCGGUCUCAGUCCGGAUUGGAGUCUGCAACUCGACUCCAUGAAGUUGGAAUCGCUAGUAAUCGUGGAUCAGCAUGCCACGGUGAAUACGUUCCCGGGCCUU